rnacentral:lncRNA from 1 species
GUCUCAUGCAUUUGGCAGGAUGUUUUAGAAAGAGGAAUGAGAAAAGGAAACCUUAAAACAAGAGACCAAGCAAGCCGGGCGUGCAAAGACAAAAGCCAGGUCACUCUAGUAAGGUAGAGGGAGAUGGUGAAUAAGUAGAGAGAGAGAAAAGGCAGAAGAUAGGAAGUACUCCCCGGGGUGGCCAAAUGGCUCAUGACUUACCUCAACAGGAAGUGCAUGAUAUUGUGUCACCAAUCCAUCUGCAGCAGUAGCUAUACCAAUAAGAGCUAUGACUUUUUCCGGCCGUGCAAUUGCAGCAUGCAGCAUGAGCCAUCCACCAAGACUGGAUCCAACCAGUAUCUAAAAACAAGUAUGCAUGACUUCAAAGAGGACUCUCAUACUCUAUAAAGAGAAUGAUUUAAUAGAAAUAUAUACACUUUGUAUCUUUUAUAUCCUUGCAGACUUUUAAUAUGUAACACAAAGUAAAAUUCAAUUAAACUAACUUGUUUGUUUGUUUGUUUGUUUGAGUCAGGUUUCUACUGUGUUGUCCUGGAACUCUUUUUGUAGACUAGGUUCAUCUUGAACUCAGCAUCUGUCCCUGUAUCCCAAUAUAAUUAACUUCUGUAAGGUCAUUAUGUCUAUAAUAUA